GUUCUACAUUUCUCCUGCUCACUAACCAGACUAUUUCAUGUCUUUCCUCUCUCCUCACACUCAGCUGAUCUUUCUUCCUUCUACUGAGAAACUGACACAACCAGAAGAUGUUCCCCAGGUUCCCAAUGCACCUACUCAGCAACCUCAUCUUAGGAGAACAAAGAAAUUGCACUCUUCUCUUUGUCGCUUCCAUUUUGAUCUACCAAAACAAGCUAGCUCUUGUCCCAUUAGCAGAUUGCGUGGUUUUUAUGCCUCAAUAAACGUAUCCCUGUGGGAGAGUACGAAGGCCUGACGUCUGAAAAAUCUAAGAGGCAAAGGCACACAGCACACCUUG